UUUCCCUGCAUGCAGGAUGAAUUGCUCUGGCUCUGCCUUCUCUGUUGGCAUCCCAAGUAACACUGUAUGAAUGGCACAGUGCUCCGUGUGGGUGAGUCAACAAAAGCAACACAGGAUCCCUUGCCCUUUAUAACACAGAGGGUUAUUGCUGGCCUGGUGUACUCUUCCAUGAUGGAUUCACAAGGCAGAGCCUGCAGCCCCACAGCAGCACUGAAGGUGUCGAGCAGGCAGCUCCAGCAGAGUCUGCAGCAGGAGAUGCUCGGCUUUAGCUGGGAGUUCUGCCAUGGAACGCUGAGAUGGGCACUGUGCACUGUCAGACCUCCUGCAGGGCUUCUUGGGCUGAGUGCACCUGACAGAGGGCAGAGAAUUUUGUGUUACCAGAGUAGAUGGUCAUGAGGUGUCCUCCUGACGGGGAUGGCAAGAGUAACUGGAGUCAUGUGUCUGUGUGGGUGUUUGGCAGCGAUGAUGUGAGCAGUAAAUUCAGCAGUGUAAUCACUGCAGCAUCCAGAAAAUGCUGAUGUUAAUGCCCAGAAUUGAUUUCCUUUUUAACUUUCCAGCUAGACUGGGGGGACAUAGCACUUGCUAGCCAAUAUUUUUAAUGUAUUGUUACUCCUUUUCUGUAAUUCCCUAAUUUUCCUGAAACAAAAGCGAAAGCUAAUUCACUUAGCUGAGGCAAAGACAGGAAGGAAGCCACAGGCACCAGAGUACCAUGGCGUCUCUCAUCUCCCACAUUAUUCCCAGGGGUCUGCAGAAGAGGAUAUGAUUAUUUUCUGUGUGGCUUAGAGCAGAGUAACCACAGGGCAAUUUCUGGAUCCAGGUGUGGGAAACAGCUUGAUGUGUUUGUUGCACAAAAGCACAGAGCUCUUAACAGCUCUUUGCUGAGCUCCUGUUGCUUUCUUCUCUCUCAAACGUUUAUUGUUAAAAAGCAGUGGCCUUGUAGUUGGAGGUAAAAGUAAGCAGAGAGCCUGGAGAUACACAAGACUUGUGAGUCUCUGUGCUGCAAGGAACAUCUCUGUUUAUGUGCUGCAGCAUGCACAUUCUGUUCCAGCCAUCCCCUCAUUUAUUUUGUGGUACAGGAGCAGUUACAGGCUUUGCACACCACCCCUGCAGCCUUCUUGUCUUCCCUCUGUACAAGAUCAUCUUUGCUGUUGCUACAGGCAGAUCUAAAUACACCAGUGCUUCAGGUUUUAGAAAGCGUUGCUGAUGCUGGCUGCAGAUGCUUCUUUACUGGAAGCAGCACUUUUCUGUUUUGACUGCCAAAGAACCACAAGUUCAAAUCCUAUAUGAUCUGUCCAGGCUUUUGGAGCAGAACCUGAUUCCCCAGCAGCAGCAGCAGCUUUGCUUUGAGUCUUUUGGCAGAGGAGCUGGAAGGUAAAUCAUCUGUGCCCAGUGUGCCUGGUAGCUCUCCCAAAGGGGUGGUUAAUUUUCCUGUACAGACAUUACAGGUCAGGCAGCUCAACAGCAAGGAACAGGAGUGAGAGCUCCUGCCCCAACUGGCAUGGAAAGUGCCAGCGUGGAGCAUCCCACGGGGCUGUGGGUCCCCACAGGAACCUGGUGGAAGAGCUGGAGUGAGGGGUUAUGUGCAAGAGAGCUGCUGUGAUUCUCCUUCCACCGACGGACUGCAGCUGGGCAGCGUUUUCUGCCUCAGCAAUACCUGCUGGCCUGCAAGGCUGGGCAGUUGUGUGGCCUCUGGAAAUGAACAGCUUCAUGUGAGCCAUCACCUACACGUCACCCACUCGGGUCUUGCUCAGGCUCUCUGGCAGCUUGUCUCCUCCUAGAAGCACAGUAGCAGGAAGCAGCAUGUUGCUCCCAUGAAUUUGUUUAUUUUCAUUACCAAAAAUAUUUAUACAGCGGCAGAAUUUGAUUUCUAAACCUCUGUGUGUUCCAGCUGUUUGUUCCCAGCUAGAGCUUAAGACAUCUGCUCCGAGGGUGGGGAUCAGUGCCUGAGCUCCUGAGAACCAGCUGCAGCAGGGCCCAGAGAGCUCUUAACGCCUGUGGCUGGUGGUUACGGUACAAGGAGGUGCAGGAGUAAAGGCAGGUGACAGCAGGUAGCUGGUCCGGCGGUUUGGGAUGCCAGUGAUAAGGAAAGGCUGCCUAAAGCACUCAGGAGUGGCGUGGUUGGUGGUGAGGCAGCCGGCAGCUCCUCCUGCGUCCGGCAUGACCUCAGCGGGCACGGCGGUGACACGUGCCCUUCCCUUCGCCUCAGCGCGCGUCAGCUGAACGCCAGCGCCUGGGCGCUGCCUCUGCCCGCUCCUGUUGCUCAAAGCCGCGGUGGGUUGAGCAAUGCCCGCGCUGGCCGUAGCUGUGGGCAGGGCAGUUCGUGCCCCGGCUCCCAUCGGCACCCAGGGAGUGCCGCGAUGCGCUGCGGGCGGAACAACCGGCCCAGGUGGUUCGCGGGGCGAGCCCGGCCGCGGGGCUGCUUCCUGCUGGGACUGACUCGGGCCGAGGACUCGCUUUGUUUCAAGGCCAGGUUUCCCCGGAGCUCCCUCUCGGAGCCCUGCAGUACAGCCAGGCAGCUGUCUGGGUGCUCAGACACCAGCGAGGGCGAGCGACCGUGACUGCGGGGCAGAGCUGUGCCGCCGGGCCGCACGGAGGAGCCAUUCCGGCCCAGCCAGCAGUCCUUAUUGCAACAUCCCAAAGGAAGUAUUUGGGCCGCAGGCGCGUCCCAGAUUUCCAAAGCAGCACAGGCGAUAAGCAGAUGCCUUUUUCUUAUGACACAGCUGCUCUGCCUAUGUCCCAGCUUUGACCAGGCCCCCGGCUGCGAGAGGAGCGCCCAGUCCGAGUGCUGGUGGGGACUUCUGCUGGGAUUCACCUCUCACUGCACCUUCGUUGGCUGGCUGGGAAGAUGCUGACCCUGCUGGAUCGCAAGCUUCUACAGCAGCUCAUCCUUCCAGUGCAGGAAUCACAGGCUCUGCUGGAGCCCAUGCAGGGUUUGUCCAGUGCAAGUCAUUAGUCUCAGAAAUAUGGGGUGAAUUCCCACUUCUUCAGGAUGCGAACAACAGAGGCAGGUUUGGAGGAAAUGUCUUCCAUCAGAAGUGUCUGUCCUCUGCCUUCAUCACUUACAGUCAAAGCAUGAAAGUUCAUUAGGCUCAUUGGCUAUUUCCUGUUCAGGCUGUCAACUAAAGAAGCAGCAGAGCAGCA